UGGGAGGUCACUGGUAAACAAUAUAGAGACCCAGGGUGACAUCACAGAGGAAGAUACCAGGAAAUUGAGGUCUAACCUACCCACGAGAAGAAAUUCACAACAAAGAGAAACAGAAGAAACCUUUAGAGAUGGAGAAAUCACCCUGGACCCAAAGAGGAGAAGCUGCAGUAUAACUGCUUGUUCUUCAGGCUGUGUAAUUUGAGCAUGAUACUUAGGAGAAAAACAGCAGCACAGAGCACCAGGGAAAUCUUGAUAUGGGAACCUGGGAGGACCUGGCACCC